rnacentral:rRNA from 1 species
AGAACGAACGCUGGCGGCAGGCCUAACACAUGCAAGUCGAACGCCUGUAGCAAUACAGGAGUGGCAGACGGGUGAGUAACACGUGGGAACGUGCCCAAAGGUACGGAACAACUCCGGGAAACUGGAGCUAAUACCGUAUGUGCCCGAAAGGGGAAAGAUUUAUCGCCUUUGGAUCGGCCCGCGUCUGAUUAGCUAGUUGGUGAGGUAAUGGCUCACCAAGGCGACGAUCAGUAGCUGGUCUGAGAGGAUGACCAGCCACACUGGGACUGAGACACGGCCCAGACUCCUACGGGAGGCAGCAGUGGGGAAUAUUGGACAAUGGGCGCAAGCCUGAUCCAGCCAUGCCGCGUGAGUGAUGAAGGCCCUAGGGUUGUAAAGCUCUUUCGCCAGGGACGAUAAUGACGGUACCUGGAUAAGGAACGCCCGGCUAACUUCGUGCCAGCAGCCGC